rnacentral:rRNA from 1 species
UACGUAGGGUGCAAGCGUUGUCCGGAAUUAUUGGGCGUAAAGAGCUCGUAGGCGGUCUGUCGCGUCUGCUGUGAAAACCCGGGGCUCAACCCCGGGCCUGCAUUCGAUACGGGCAGACUAGAGUUCGGUAGGGGAGUCUGGAAUUCCUGGUGUAGCGGUGAAAUGCGCAGAUAUCAGGAGGAACACCGGUGGCGAAGGCGGGACUCUGGGCCGAUACUGACGCUGAGGAGCGAAAGCGUGGGGAGCAAACAGG